AUGCAAUGUCCGUCUUUAAAAUUCCUAAAAAGAUUUGUAAAGGAAUCAUUGACACGAUGUCACAUUUUUGGUGGGGUGACAAAGACAAUCAGAAGAGAAUGCAUUGGAUGGCAUGGUGGAAGAUGUGUGUACCAAAAGACCAAAGAGGAAUGGGUUUUCGAGACAUACAUUGUUUCAAUCUGGCCUUGUUAG
rnacentral:rRNA from 1 species